rnacentral:rRNA from 1 species
AGUGAACGCUGGCGGCGUGCUUAACACAUGCAAGUCGAACGAGAACGGAAUAUAGCUUGCUAUAUUUGUCAGCUAAGUGGCGCACGGGUGAGUAAUGUAUAGAUAACCUGCCCUUAAGAAAGGAAUAACAGUUGGAAACGACUGCUAAUGCCCUAUAUGCCUUUAAUACAUAAGUAUGCAAGGGAAACGCUUUAGUGCUUAAGGAUGGGUCUGUAUGGUAUCAGCUUGUUGGUGAGGUAAUGGCUCACCAAGGCUAUGACGCCUAACUGGUUUGAGAGGAUGAUCAGUCACACUGGAACUGAGACACGGUCCAGACUCCUACGGGAGGCAGCAGUGGGGAAUAUUGCACAAUGGACGAAAGUCUGAUGCAGCAACGCCGCGUGGAGGGUGACACAUUUCGGUGCGUAAACUCCUUUUAUAUAGGAAGAUAAUGACGGUACUAUAUGAAUAAGCACCGGCUAACUCCGUGCCAGCAGCCGCAGUAA